CAGCCCCUCUGCUGCAGACCCUCGGGAUCGUCGCUGGUAGGAGCUCUGUCCCCCGUGUCUGUGUCCAGGACUCCCGAAGCGCCGCGCCUAGGAACCCCCUAGCGCUGGGAGCCCGGCCCUGCUCGACCACGGGCUUUGGGCUGGAGGCGUCAUCGUCGCCACAGCGAACGCUUAUUUGGCACCGAGUGUCCGCCAGGCAUCGCUCUAAGCGCUUUAUACCCAUAACUCAUUUCAUCUCAGCCACCCGGUUCAGUAGAAGCGUUUCAUCCGCGUUUUACAGACGUGUGCAGGAAAGAUUCUGAAGCUCGGCGGAGAGGGGUGUGUGAGUGGACACCAGUGAAGUAACGGUUUUUGUGUUAACGAUGAUUUCUGUUUUCCUCUGCUGCCCUGUAAUGGCAGGAACUCGGAUAGUCUGGUCUUCAGACCAGGAGGACUCCCAGGAGAGAACGGAGAGCCAGCGUGCUGUGUGUCACGGUCCCUGGAUGAACGUUUGUGGAACUGGAUUGAAUUAAACAAGACGUGCAAAGCAAGUGGUUCACGAGGGUCUUGCUCCGUCGCCCAGUCUGGAGUGCAGUGUUAAGAUCUCUGCUCAGUGCAGCCUUGAACUCUCAGGCUCAAGAAAUCUUCCCGCCUCAGCUUCCCAAAGUGCUGGGAUUACAGGUGUUGGCAUCUGUAAUUGACGUCACAGGCACCUGCUGAGCCUGACCCCGUGCUGGCUCUGCAGAGGUAGCCAGGACACAGGCCCAGCCCGCAGUCCUCUGGGGAGACGGGCCAGGCGCACGCAGGUAGAGGAUUAUAAAUCAGACAAGGACGUGACUGUUCAGAAUCGGGCCCUGGGAGACAGAAGCUGGAAUAGACUGUCAAGGCCAUAACAGAAGCGCAGGGCCUGUGUGUGCCGGUGCCGGGUCCUCUGCAGUUGCUGUUAUUGGGCCUCAGCCUCAGCUCUGACCUUCCUGGUAGCCCUAGAGAAAAGGGAAACGAGACCGGGCAGCCAGGUUCCUGACUCCCUGUCCUGGGCAAGGAGCCUCCCGGCUGCUCCGCGAAAGCGCUGCGUUCUGAGCUGCUCACAGCCCUGCGGCUCUCUCUGGGGCUUUCUGAGGGUCUCUCUGGUGUCAGGGCAGUGCAUGGGCACUCUCUGUCCAGCACAUGUGUGGCAGGCUCACGCUCUUCUCCUGGGACAUAGCUCCAAAGGACAGGGCGUUAGGAUCGGGGGUGGCCCAGGGACCCCGCCUCCCCCAGGGCCAGGUCUGGGGGCUCCUGGCUGGGAUGGUGUUUUAUUUUCUUCUAUUUUUAACUUAAAAAAUGACGAUAUAAGCACUGCAUGUGGUGGCUCACACUUGGAAUCUCAACACUUGGGGAGGCCAAGGUGGACAAAUUGCUUGAGCCUAGGAGAUCAAUACCAGCCUGGGCAACACUGCAAGACCCUGUCUCUACAAAAAAUUUAAAAAUUAGCCUGGUGUGGUGUCGUGCUCCUGUGGUCCCAGCUACUAGGGAGGCUGAGGCAUGAGAAUCGCUUGGGCCCAGGAGGUCGAGGCUGCAGCGAGCUAUGAUUGCACCGCUGCACUCCAGCCUGGGUGACAGAGCCAGACAGACUGUGUCUCAAAAAAAAAAAAAA